rnacentral:rRNA from 1 species
UACGUAGGGUGCAAGCGUUGUCCGGAAUUAUUGGGCGUAAAGCGCACGUAGGCGGCUUUGUAAGUCAGAGGUGAAAGCCUGGAGCUCAACUCCAGAACUGCCUUUGAGACUGCAUCGCUUGAAUCCAGGAGAGGUGAGUGGAAUUCCGAGUGUAGAGGUGAAAUUCGUAGAUAUUCGGAAGAACACCAGUGGCGAAGGCGGCUCACUGGACUGGUAUUGACGCUGAGGUGCGAAAGCGUGGGGAGCAAACAGG